UCAGUCAAGAUUUUUUAAGUGUGUGUC
rnacentral:piRNA from 1 species